rnacentral:rRNA from 1 species
GUCUAUGGCCAUGCUACCCUGAACAAGCCCAAUCCCGUCUGAUCUCAGGAGCUAAGCAGGGUUGGGCCUGGCUAGUAUUUGGAUGGGAGACCACUUAGGAAGCCCAGGUGCUGUAGGCG